AAUUAUUUAGGGGUAACAUUAAUAAAAAUAUAUUUUCUGUCUACACAACUCCAAACUGUACUAAAAAAAUUUAGAUAUUAUAAAAGGUACUGGAGGGAAUAUAUUUGAGCCGCUUCUCUAAUAGUUUCUUGAACAAGAUGAUAUUUUAUAAAGAUCUCAGUCAGCAAGUCCUUGCCACUGGUGGACUAGACAUAAUGCUAACUACCUCUAAUUAGAUUUCCAAAACCCCAUCAAUUAACGGCAUCAAAUAUAAACUUUCGCAGGGAUUGCAAAGAUGCCUUUGUCAAUCAUAUUCAUAAAACACACCGAACUCUGCCUCAUACUCAGUUGUGCUGACUAAAUUUCGUCACUGGAAAUCUUUUCUUACAUAUUCCACUAAAUUAGCAGCUGCAUCUUUCCUUUGUGAAAAGCCCUGCUCCUAUCCAGCAAACCUUCUUCAACAUGCUUGUAGGUUCCUCUCUAAUCAUUACAAGGAGAUGUUUCUGCACAAGUUCUGGACCAUUCUCACUAGAAAUCCUUUCUUACAUAUUCCACUAAAUUAGUGCGUGCGGCCAAAACAUCUAAGGGUAUUAUAAACCUACCCUUAGAUGUUAUGGA